CACGCCCUAAACCGAAUGCGCGUUAGGUGUAUCGGUGACCACGAGUCACCGAGGUGCCGAAGGGAAACCGUGAAACGUGCCGCCUGGGAAGUACGGUCGCAAGGCUGAAACUUAAAGGAAUUGGCGGGGGGAGCACCACAACGGGUGGAGCCUGCGGUUUAAUUGGACUCAACGCCGGGAAGCUCACCGGAUAAGACAGCGGAAUGAUUGCCGGGCUGAAGACCCUGCAUGACCAGCUGAGAGGAGGUGCAUGGCGUAGACGUCU
rnacentral:rRNA from 1 species